GUCAGAAUGGCCGAGUGGUCUAAGGCGCCAGACUGAUGUUCUGGUCCACGUGGGCUUGGGUUCAAAUCCCACUUUUGACA